UUAAUGUAUUAUUUGAACCUUAUGUUUUGGUUUACAAGAUUAAAUUACCUUAGGGAUAACAGCGUAAUUUCUUUGGAGAGUUCUUAUCUAUAAAGGAGUUUGCGACCUCGAUGUUGGAUUAAAAUUAUUAUUUGGUGCAGAAGCUAAGUAAUUAAGUCUGUUCGACUUUUAAAUUUUUACAUGAUCUGAGUUCAGACCGGCGUGAGCCAGGUUGGUUUCUAUCUGCAAUU
rnacentral:rRNA from 1 species